CGCUCGAUGCGUAGCCUGUACUCGCCUACCCCCCGUCCACUACCACGUGACCAGACUCCCCCGACCAUCCCCAUCCACAAUUCAAAUUUUGAAUAGUGAAUCAGACCCAGGUGCAUCGAGCGGAGGAACCACGCCCUCCCCAUCCACGCGCCUCGAUCCCUAGGGUUGCUAAUGGAUUCAACGAUGAAUCUCAGUGCGGAGUCAUUCACGGAUCUCCUCUUCAGCCGGUCGCAACUGAGGGCGUCCCAGAUCUGGGAUUGCUAGAUGAGGAGGAGGAGGACGAAGAGCGCAUCCAUCCUAAUUUCCAGAACCAUUCUCCUUCAUCAAGAGAAGAUGGAGAGAAAUAUGGUGCCACAGAUUCAGAACCCCGACAGAUUUCUCCAACGUCCUAGAUAUUGACGACACCGAAGAGACCCCGCCUGAAUCGCAUCCCACUCCAGUUCCAUGGACUCAAAGGGUCCGACUUGGGUCUCCCCGCGACGGUUGGGUCGCACUGCCGUGGCUGGAGUUCGAGCCUCCCGGCGACGUUAGGGUCAAACUGGUUGGCAGCAGGUCAGAUCCAUCGGGCAGCGGCGCAGGGACGCGAGCUCGAGACUCGGUGGCUUUACCCUGCUUCAUUUGGUAUAUGGUUAUCGAAAAAAAUCUCAGCGUGUAUUGAGUUGUUGAAUGGGGAAGUUUUUUUUUUGUUUUUUGUUUGGGAAGAAUGAGAGAGUAGGCCUCUUUGCUUUUUGCUGCUCUUACGUUUUUGUUUUUUUUUCCUAUUUUUAAUUUCCCCG